rnacentral:rRNA from 1 species
UACGUAUGGUGCAAGCGUUAUCCGGAAUUACUGGGCGUAAAGGGUGAGUAGGCGGCCAAAUAAGUCAUAUGUGAAAAUCCAGGGCUCAACUCUGGACCUGCAUAAGAAACUGUUUGGCUAGAGUGCAGGAGAGGUAAGCGGAAUUCCUAGUGUAGCGGUGAAAUGCGUAGAUAUUAGGAAGAACACCAGUGGCGAAGGCGGCUUACUGGACUGUAACUGACGCUGAGUCACGAAAGCGUGGGGAGCGAACAGG